UUUAUGGUGCCAUAAAUUGCCUCCCCACUUUAACGGUGCCUAAUUUAUCUACUCAUGGCUGUUUUUGAACUGCUUAGGUGGGCAGUGAGCUGGGAUGAAGAUCGGGUGCUCACCCCAACCCGGGCUUCGAACUCGCAACCUUUUGAUUGGUAGAUUUAUUGCAGCUGAGUGUCAGGGAAGGGGAGCAGGAAAGUGUUUAUGAAUCUGAGGGUGAGUUGGAGUCUGAGGAGGAGACUUUGCUAGUACCCUCAUUCCAGGAGAGGCAAAAGGAAACAGAGCAAAGACAUCAUUAAGCUAGAUUAGCUGCCAGAAAUGCAGCUGAGUAAUUAGGAACUGCCCUAGCAGCUGUGUGGGGACCCAGGGUUAUAAAAGCUGAAGCAGGUGCAUCCAGCUCUUGCUGGUAACAAACUGACUCUAGUGCCUUCACUCUCUGUUGCCUGCAUCUGGAUUUAUGCCUGUUUCUUUGUCUGAAGGCUCCAUCAUAAAGGAGAAGACGAACUGGUGCAUGCCACCACAGCAGCAACACAUUUUGCCUUGGAUCAACGGGGAAAGCUGGGCAAUGGAUGCUUCUGUGGGAUGCGGACUCGGAUCGGUUCUUUUGAAAAUGUGGCCUUGGAUUUUGUCAACAGCAGUAGAGCUGCUCCUAGAAUGGUCUGCGGUUCCAUAUAGUGCACACCGAGGUAUUUUAAAAAUGUUUGUUUGGUCAAAAGUGUACAGGCGUGCUCUGAUGUGGGGAUUUUCACUCCUCAAGUGGCAUAGCUUGAUUAAUGACCUUCUUGACAGCUUAAAAAUCAUCAAUGGUUCAAAAAAUUACUUUGGCUGAUGUUUACCAGGCUUUCCAUGAAGUAGGUCCUAUGUGGAAUUCAUUGUGACCACUUAGUUCCAAAUGAAUAAAUAUGUUUGGAAAUGGUUUGAUUUGUAUGAUGACUAUAAAAACAGGCGGAUUGUUUUUCAUAUAUGGGUCUAUGUGCCCGAAAAUUAGUAUUUCCCGUUCAAAGCCUCUUAUGUGAAAGGUGGUGAAGUUCGAUCAUACAGUAGAGUUUCACUUAUCCAACAUAAAUGGGCCGGCAGAAUGUUGGAUAAGCGAAUAUGUUGGAUAAUAAGGAGAGAUUAAGAAAAAGCUUAUUAAACAUACGGCAGAUACCAACUCUCCUAGGCUUCAGGAAAGCCUUAAAGACAUGGUUGUGCACACAAGCUUUUAAUGAAUGAGAACAUGGACUUUACAUGACCUGUACGAAGACUUGAGGAUUCUGGAUGAAUGGAUUUUAAUCUUGGACAUUCUUAAAAUUUUAUAUAAUGUGAUUUUAUUUUGUAAUGGUAUCUGUUUUAUAUGAACUGUUGUUUUGUAGAUUGUUUUAUAUGAAUUGUUGUUUUUACAUUGUUUUUAGGCAUUGAAAUUUUGCCUAUUUACUGUAAGCCACUUUGAGUCUCCUUGGAGAGAAAGGCGAGGUAAAAGUGAUGUAAAUAAAUAAAUAAAUAAAUAUUAAACAUCAAAAUAGGUUAUGAUUUUACAAAUUAAGCACCAAAACAUCAUGUUUAACAACAAAUUUGACAGAAAAAGUAGUUCACUACACAUUAAUGCUAUGUAGUAAUUGCUGUAUUUACUAAUUUAGCACCAAAAUAUCACGAUAUAUUGAAAACAUUGACUACAAAAAUGCGUUGGAUAGUCCAGAACGUUGGAUAAGUGAGUGUUGGAUAAGUGAGACUCUACUGUACAUACAUUUCCAGAAUUUGGAAAAUCAUUUAUUUCGACUAUGGUCCCAUCUACAUUGCCAUAUACAAUGGCAGUGUAGACUAAUAUAAUUCAGUUCAAAGCAGAUAAUCUG
ensembl:lncRNA